GGUCGAGUAGCUCAGUUGGUUAGAGCGUUGGUCUUAUGAGCCAACGGUCGCGGGUUCGAUUCCCGCCCCGACCA
rfam:Paramecium tetraurelia chromosome undetermined scaffold_86, whole genome shotgun sequence.